CUGACUGACCGAUAGUGAACCAGUACCGUGAGGGAAAGGCGAAAAGAACCCCGGCGAGGGGAGUGAAAAAGAACCUGAAACCGUGUACGUACAAGCAGUGGGAGCACGCUUAGGCGUGUGACUGCGUACCUUUUGUAUAAUGGGUCAGCGACUUAUAUUCUGUAGCAAGGUUAACCGAAUAGGGGAGCCGAAGGGAAACCGAGUCUUAACUGGGCGUUAAGUUGCAGGGUAUAGACCCGAAACCCGGUGAUCUAGCCAUGGGCAGGUUGAAGGUUGGGUAACACUAACUGGAGGACCGAACCGACUAAUGUUGAAAAAUUAGCGGAUGACUUGUGGCUGGGGGUGAAAGGCCAAUCAAACCGGGAGAUAGCUGGUUCUCCCCGAAAGCUAUUUAGGUAGCGCCUCGUGAAUUCAUCUCCGGGGGUAGAGCACUGUUUCGGCAAGGGGGUCAUCCCGACUUACCAACCCGAUGCAAACUGCGAAUACCGGAGAAUGUUAUCACGGGAGACACACGGCGGGUGCUAACGUCCGUCGUGAAGAGGGAAACAACCCAGACCGCCAGCUAAGGUCCCAAAGUCAUGGUUAAGUGGGAAACGAUGUGGGAAGGCCCAGACAGCCAGGAUGUUGGCUUAGAAGCAGCCAUCAUUUAAAGAAAGCGUAAUAGCUCACUGGUCGAGUCGGCCUGCGCGGAAGAUGUAACGGGGCUAAACCAUGCACCGAAGCUGCGGCAGCGACGCUUAUGCGUUGUUGGGUAGGGGAGCGUUCUGUAAGCCUGUGAAGGUGUGCUGUGAGGUAUGCUGGAGGUAUCAGAAGUGCGAAUGCUGACAUAAGUAACGAUAAAGCGGGUGAAAAGCCCGCUCGCCGGAAGACCAAGGGUUCCUGUCCAACGUUAAUCGGGGCAGGGUGAGUCGACCCCUAAGGCGAGGCCGAAAGGCGUAGUCGAUGGGAAACAGGUUAAUAUUCCUGUACUUGGUGUUACUGCGAAGGGGGGACGGAGAAGGCUAUGUUGGCCGGGCGACGGUUGUCCCGGUUUAAGCGUGUAGGCUGGUUUUCCAGGCAAAUCCGGAAAAUCAAGGCCGAGGCGUGAUGACGAGGCACUACGGUGCUGAAGCAACAAAUGCCCUGCUUCCAGGAAAAGCCUCUAAGCAUCAGGUAACAUCAAAUCGUACCCCAAACCGACACAGGUGGUCAGGUAGAGAAUACCAAGGCGCUUGAGAGAACUCGGGUGAAGGAACUAGGCAAAAUGGUGCCGUAACUUCGGGAGAAGGCACGCUGAUACGUAGGUGAAGCGACUUGCUCGUGGAGCUGAAAUCAGUCGAAGAUACCAGCUGGCUGCAACUGUUUAUUAAAAACACAGCACUGUGCAAACACGAAAGUGGACGUAUACGGUGUGACGCCUGCCCGGUGCCGGAAGGUUAAUUGAUGGGGUUAGCGCAAGCGAAGCUCUUGAUCGAAGCCCCGGUAAACGGCGGCCGUAACUAUAACGGUCCUAAGGUAGCGAAAUUCCUUGUCGGGUAAGUUCCGACCUGCACGAAUGGCGUAAUGAUGGCCAGGCUGUCUCCACCCGAGACUCAGUGAAAUUGAACUCGCUGUGAAGAUGCAGUGUACCCGCGGCAAGACGGAAAGACCCCGUGAACCUUUACUAUAGCUUGACACUGAACAUUGAGCCUUGAUGUGUAGGAUAGGUGGGAGGCUUUGAAGUGUGGACGCCAGUCUGCAUGGAGCCGACCUUGAAAUACCACCCUUUAAUGUUUGAUGUUCUAACGUGGACCCGUGAUCCGGGUUGCGGACAGUGUCUGGUGGGUAGUUUGACUGGGGCGGUCUCCUCCUAAAGAGUAACGGAGGAGCACGAAGGUUGGCUAAUCCUGGUCGGACAUCAGGAGGUUAGUGCAAUGGCAUAAGCCAGCUUGACUGCGAGCGUGACGGCGCGAGCAGGUGCGAAAGCAGGUCAUAGUGAUCCGGUGGUUCUGAAUGGAAGGGCCAUCGCUCAACGGAUAAAAGGUACUCCGGGGAUAACAGGCUGAUACCGCCCAAGAGUUCAUAUCGACGGCGGUGUUUGGCACCUCGAUGUCGGCUCAUCACAUCCUGGGGCUGAAGUAGGUCCCAAGGGUAUGGCUGUUCGCCAUUUAAAGUGGUACGCGAGCUGGGUUUAGAACGUCGUGAGACAGUUCGGUCCCUAUCUGCCGUGGGCGCUGGAGAACUGAGGGGGGCUGCUCCUAGUACGAGAGGACCGGAGUGGACGCAUCACUGGUGUUCGGGUUGUCAUGCCAAUGGCACUGCCCGGUAGCUAAAUGCGGAAGAGAUAAGUGCUGAAAGCAUCUAAGCACGAAACUUGCCCCGAGAUGAGUUCUCCCUGACCCUUUAA
rnacentral:rRNA from 1 species